AAGAGAGACUCCCAAGAGCAGGAAGCCCGGCCGCGGGCAGUCUAGGCUGUAGGGCCCCUCGCUGAGCAGGCAAACAGGAAGGACAGCCCCCUGAGCUCUGGGCUCCCGGCCCGGGAAUUGCCGCGUAGCAGGGCUGCGGCCAGGGUCCAGGGUAAAGAGGCGAGCGGUCACAGGAGUCCCACCGGUCCCGGCGCCCGCUCCGCCACGCCCUGGUCUCGGCUCCCGGCCUUCCCGCGCGCCCAGGCGAGCCAUCUGCAGCGGCCGCAAUGAAGGCCGGAUCAGGGGAUCAGGGGAGCCCCCCGUGUUUCCUACGCUUCCCGCGGCCCGUGCGGGUGGUAAGUGGAGCGGAGGCCGAGCUCAAAUGCGUGGUCCUGGGAGAGCCGCCGCCCACUGUCGUGUGGGAGAAAGGCGGGCAGCAGCUGGUGGCCUCCGAGCGCCUAAGCUUUCCGGAGGACGGCGCCGAGCACGGCCUGCUGCUGAGCGGCGCGCUGCCCACCGACGCCGGGGUCUACGUGUGCCGCGCCCGCAACGCGGCCGGAGAGGCCUACGCGGCGGCCGCCGUCACCGUGCUGGAACCCCCGGCCCCCGAGCCGGAGCCCGAGUCCUCCGAGUGUCCGCUGCCAACACCGGGCACCGGGGAGGGCGCCCCGAAGUUCCUGACGGGGCCCCAGUCCCAGUGGGUGCUGCGAGGGGAGGAGGUGGUGCUGACGUGCCAGGUGGGAGGCCUUCCGGAGCCCAAGCUGUACUGGGAGAAGGAUGGGAUGGCCUUGGACGAAGUAUGGGACAGCAGCCACUUCAAGCUGGAGCCCGGCCGCGGCGCGAGUGACGAGGGCGCGAGCCUGACGUUGCGCAUCCUGGCGGCACGGCUGCCCGAUUCCGGGGUGUACGUGUGUCACGCCCGCAACGCGCACGGCCACGCGCAGGCGGGCGCGCUGCUCCAGGUGCACCAGCCCCGCGAGAGCCCGCCCCAGGAUCCCGAUGAGAACCCCAAACCCGUGUUGGAGCCGCUCAAAGGCGCGCCCAAGACCUUCUGGGUGAACGAGGGCAAGCACGCCAAAUUCCGCUGCUACGUGAUGGGCAAACCUGAGCCCGAGAUCGAAUGGCACUUGGAGGGCCGCCCUCUGCUCCCCGAUCGCCGCCGCCUCAUGUACCGCGACCGCGACGGCGGCUUUGUACUUAAGGUGCUCUACUGCCAGGCCAAGGACCGUGGGCUCUACGUGUGCGCGGCGCGCAACUCGGCGGGCCAGACCCUAAGCGCGGUCCAGCUGCACGUGAAAGAACCCCGCCUACGGUUCACCCGGCCCCUGCAGGAUGUGGAGGGUCGGGAACACGGGAUUGUGGUGCUGGAGUGUAAAGUACCUAACUCUCGAAUUCCCACCGCCUGGUUCCGGGAGGACCAACGGCUGUUACCCUGCCGCAAGUACGAGCAGAUCGAGGAGGGCGCUGUGAGACGCCUCGUCAUCCACAAGCUGAAGGCCGAUGAUGAUGGCGUCUAUCUGUGCGAGAUGCGGGGCCGAGUGCGCACUGUGGCCAAUGUGACGGUCAAAGGACCCAUCCUGAAGCGUUUACCCCGGAAGCUUGACGUCCUGGAAGGAGAGAACGCAGUACUGCUGGUGGAGACUCAAGAAGCUGGGGUGCAGGGGUGCUGGAGCCGUGAUGGGGAGGACCUGCCAGACACCUGCCAGAGCAGUUGUGGUCAUAUGCAUGCCCUGGUCCUUCCAGGGGUGACCCGAGAAGAUGCUGGAGAGAUCACCUUCAGCCUGGGCAACUCCCGUACCACCACCCUGCUCAGAGUCAAAUGUGUCAAGCACAGUCCUCCCGGGCCCCCCGUAAUGGUUGAGAUGUUCAAAGGCCAAAAGAACAAGGUUCUGCUGACCUGGAAGCCCCCAGAGCCACCUCCAGAGACCUCCUUCAUCUACCGCCUAGAGCGGCAGGAAGUGGGGUCUGACGAUUGGAUCCAGUGCUUCAGCAUUGAGAAGGCGGGAGCCGUAGAGGUGCCCGGGGACUGUGUACCCACCGAGGGUGACUAUCACUUCCGCAUCUGCACAGUCAGUGAACAUGGCCGCAGUCCCCAUGUCGUGUUCAACGGUUCUGCUCACCUUGUGCCCACAGCUCGCCUGGUGUCAGGCCUGGAAGACGUGCAGGUAUAUGAUGGGGAAGAUGCCGUCUUCUCCCUUGAUCUGUCCGCCAUCAUCCAGGGCUCUUGGUUCCUUAAUGGAGAGCAGCUCCAGAGUAAUGAGCCAGAGGGCCAGGUGGAGCCUGGAGCCCUGCGGUACCGCAUAGAGCAGAAGGGCCUCCAGCACAGGCUCAUCCUGCAAGCUGUCAAGCACCGGGACAGUGGGGCCCUGGUUGGCUUCAGCUGCCCUGGUGUGCAAGACUCUGCUGCCCUCACUAUCCAAGAAAGCUCAGUGCACAUCCUGAGUCCCCAGGACAAGGUGUCACUGACCUUCACGACCUCUGAACGGGUAGUGCUGACCUGUGAGCUCUCAAGGGUGGAUUUUCCUGCAACCUGGUACAAGGAUGGGCAGAAGGUGGAGGAGAGCGAGUCGCUCAUAGUGAAGACAGAGGGCCGCAAACACCGACUGAUCCUGCCUGAGGCUCAAGUCCGAGACAGCGGUGAAUUUGAGUGCAGAACGGAAGGGGUCUCGGCCUUCUUUGGAGUCACUGUUCAAGAUCCCCCAGUGCACAUCGUGAACCCCCAAGAGCAUGUGUUUGUCCAUGCCAUCACCUCCGAGUGUGUCAGGCUGACCUGUGAGGUAGACCGAGAGGACACAACUGUACACUGGUACAAGGAUGGGCAGGAGGUGGAGGAGAGUGACAUCAUCGUAUUAGAAAAUAAAGGGCCCCAUCACCGCCUGGUGCUACCUGCAGCCCGGCCCUCCGACGGGGGCGAGUUCCAGUGUGUCGCAGGAGAUGAACGUGCCUACUUCACAGUUACCAUCACAGAUGUCUUCUCGUGGAUCGUCUACCCCAGUAGCGAAGUGCAUGUGGCAGCCGUACGCCUAGAGCGUGUGGUGCUGACCUGUGAGCUGUGCCGACCCUGGGCUGAGGUGCGCUGGACCAAAGAUGGGGAGGAGGUAGUGGAGAGCCCAGCACUGCUCCUGGAGAAGGAAGACACCAUCCGCCGCCUGGUGCUGCCCUCUGUCCAGCUUGAGGAUUCUGGCGAGUACCUGUGUGAAAUCCAUGAUGAGUCGGCUUCCUUCACCAUCACCGUCACAGAGCCCCCUGUGCGGAUCAUAUACCCCCAGGACGAGGUGACCUUACACGCCGUGAGUUUGGAAUGUGUGGUGCUCACCUGUGAGCUGUCUAGAGAGGAUGCUCCUGUACGCUGGUACAAGGAUGGGUUAGAGGUGGAGGAGAGUGAAGCCCUGGUGCUCCAGAGCGAUGGGCCUCGUCGCCGUCUGGUGUUGCCUGCUGCCCAGCCAGAGGACGGGGGCGAGUUUGUGUGUGAUGCUGGGGAUGAUUCAGCCUUCUUCACUGUCACUGUCACAGCUCCACCAGAAAGGAUUGUGCACCCAGCGGCCCGAUCCCUGGAUUUGCAGUUUGGGGCUCCAGGACACGUGGAGCUACGCUGCGAAGUGGCCCCGGCUGGGUCUCAGGUGCGCUGGUACAAGGAUGGCCUAGAGGUAGAGGUGUCAGAUGCGCUGCAGCUGGGUGCUGAGGGGCCUGCCCGCACUCUCACCCUGCCCCACGCCCAGCCUGAGGAUGCCGGGGAGUAUGUAUGUGAGACCCGAGAUGAGGCUGUCACCUUCAACGUCAGCCUGGCUGAGCUUCCGGUGCAGUUUCUGGCUCCAGAGGCAGCCCCAAAUCCGCUCUGCGUGGUUCCUGGGGAGCCCGUGGUGCUGAGCUGUGAGCUGUCCCGAGCAAGCGCACAAGUGUUCUGGAGCCACAAUGGGAGCCCGGUGCAGCAGGGUGAAGGACUAGAGCUGCGAGCUGAGGGUCCUCGCAGAAUCCUCUGCAUCCAGGCAGCAGACCUCGCUCACACAGGUGUCUACACUUGCCAAUCUGGGGCAUCCCCAGGGGCCCCAAGCCUCAGCUUCAAUGUCCAGGUGGCUGAGCCCCCAGUGCGGGUAGUGGCCCCCGAGGCAGCCCAGACGAGUGUUCGAAGCACCCCAGGUGGGGACCUAGAGCUGGUGGUGCACCUCUCCAGGCCAGGGACCCCUGUGCGCUGGUACAAGGACGGGGAGCGCCUGGCAAGCCAGGGGCGGGUACAGCUGGAACAAGCCGGGGCGAGGCAGGUGCUGCGGGUGCGGGGGGCACGGAGAGGGGAUGCUGGGGAAUACCUGUGCGACGCACCCCAGGACAGUCGCAUCUUCAUCGUCAGUGUGGAAGAGCUCCCGCCAGUGAAGCUGGUCUCUGAACUGACGCCUCUGACAGUCCAUGAGGGGGACGAUGCCACAUUCCAGUGUGAGGUUUCACCACCAGAUGCCGAAGUCACCUGGCUACGCAACGGAGCGGUUAUCACUGCAGGGCCACAGUUGGAAAUGGUCCAGAAUGGUUCAAGCCGCACCUUGAUCAUCCGAGGCUGCCAACUCAAAGACGCAGGGACCGUGACCGCGCGAGCCGGAGCUGCUGACACAAGUGCCAGGCUCCACGUUCGAGAGACAGAGCUGCUGUUCUUGCGGCGGCUGCAGGAUGUGCGGGCCGAGGAAGGCCAGGAUGUGCACCUUGAGGUAGAGACAGGCCGAGUUGGUGCAGCUGGAACUGUUCGCUGGAUACGAGGUGGGGAACCUCUUCCCCUGGACUCUCGCCUGACCACGGCUCAGGAUGGCCAUGUCCACCGCCUCUCUAUCCAUGGCGUUCUACUUACCGACCAGGGCACCUACGGCUGUGAGAGCCGCCACGAUCGCACCCUGGCCAGGCUCAGUGUGAGGCCUCGGCAGCUGAGGGAACUUCGGCCUCUGGAGGAUGUGACCGUCCAUGAGGGGGGCAGUGCCACCUUCCAGCUGGAGCUGUCCCAGGAGGGUGUGACCGGAGAGUGGGCCCAGGGUGGAGUCCGGCUGCACCCAGGGCCCAAGUGCCACAUUCAAUCAGAAGGCCGCACUCACCGCUUGGUGCUAAGCGGCCUGGGUCUGGCUGACUCGGGCUGUGUCUCCUUCACUGCGGACACCCUUCGGUGUGCUGCUCGGCUCACAGUGAGAGAGGUCCCAGUGACUAUUGUGCAGGGGCCACAGGACCUAGAAGUGACUGAAGGUGACACAGCCACGUUCGAGUGCGAGCUUUCCCAGACUUUGGCUGACGUAAUAUGGGAGAAGGAUGGGCAGGCGCUCUCUCUCAGCCCACGCCUCCGGCUCCAGGCUCUCGGCACGCGCCGCCUUCUGCUUCUGCGGCGUUGCUGCUCCUCAGACGCCGGGACCUACAGCUGCGUUGUGGGGACAGCUCGCUCCGAGCCUGCGCGCUUGACCGUACGCGAACGAGAGGUGUCUGUACUCCGUGAACUCCGGUCCGUUAGUGCCCGCGAAGGAGACGGCGCCACGUUUGAGUGCACUGUGUCGGAGACCGAGAUCACCGGGCGCUGGGAGCUCGGAGGCCGCGCGCUGAGACCCGGAGGCCGCGUCCGCAUCCGACAGGAAGGGAAGAAACACAUUCUGGUGCUGAGCGAGCUGAGAACCGAGGACACCGGAGAAGUCUGCUUCCAGGCGGGACCCGCCCAGUCCUUGGCUCGGCUGGAGGUGGAGGAUGUGCCGCCGCCCACCUCGUGAGAAGACGGUUCUGGUCAACCGCAGGGCGGUGUUGGAGGUGACUGUGUCCCGCCCUGGGGGCCACGUGUGUUGGAUGCGGGAGGGGGUCGAACUCUGCCCGGGAAACAAGUAUGAGAUGCGUAGACACGGCACCACCCACAGCCUAGUCAUCCAUGACGUCCGACCUGAGGACCAGGGCACCUACAGCUGCCAAGCAGGCCAGGACAGUGCUGACACACAGCUGCUGGUAGAUGGUGACUAGAGGACUGAAACACACCAAGCAGGUGCCCUUGGACAAUUUGGAAGGAGCGUACCCUUAUGCUGGGCAGGGUGGGGAGGGAGGAGCCAGAGGUAUCAGGUAACAAUAAAGAUGCUAAUGUUCAUGCCCA